AACGAACGCUGGCGGCAUGCCUAACACAUGCAAGUCGAACGAGCCCUUCGGGUCUAGUGGCGCACGGGUGCGUAACGCGUGGGAACCUGCCCUUAGGUUCGGAAUAACUCCCCGAAAGGGGUGCUAAUACCGGAUAAUGUCUUCGGACCAAAGAUUUAUCGCCUUUGGAGGGGCCCGCGUUGGAUUAGCUAGUUGGUAGGGUAAAAGCCUACCAAGGCGACGAUCCAUAGCUGGUCUGAGAGGAUGAUCAGCCACACUGGGACUGAGACACGGCCCAGACUCCUACGGGAGGCAGCAGUGGGGAAUAUUGGACAAUGGGCGAAAGCCUGAUCCAGCAAUGCCGCGUGAGUGAUGAAGUCCUUAGGGUUGUAAAGCUCUUUUACCCGGGAUGAUAAUGACAGUACCGGGAGAAUAAGCCCCGGCUAACUCCGUG
rnacentral:rRNA from 1 species